UACGGAGGGUCCGAGCGUUAUCCGGAAUCAUUGGGUUUAAAGGGUCCGUAGGCGGACGUCUAAGUCAGUGGUGAAAUUCUGCAGCUCAACUGUAGAACUGCCAUUGAUACUGGUCGUCUUGAAUCGUUGUGAAGUGGCUAGAAUAUGUAGUGUAGCGGUGAAAUGCUUAGAUAUUACAUAGAAUACCAAUUGCGAAGGCA
rnacentral:rRNA from 1 species